rnacentral:rRNA from 1 species
AACGAACGCCGGCGGCGGGGCUUAGGCAUGCAAGUCGCGCGAGAAAGCCGCAAGGCAAGUACAGCGGCGUAAGGGUGAGUAAUAGGUAGUCAACGUACCCAUUUGACGCGGAUAAUUCUCCGAAAGGGGUUGUAAUACGCGAUGAGACCACGGGGCCCUUUGGGGGUUUGGGGUCAAAGGUCGGGGAUCCUUCGGGGACCUGGCGCGGAUGGAGCGGACGACCUCCGAUUAGCUAGUUGGCGGGGUAACGCCCACCAAGGCGANGAUCGGUAGCCGGCCUGAGAGGGUGUUCGGCCACACUGGGACUGAGACACUGCCCAGACUCCUACGGGAGGCUGCAGGUCGCGAAUCAUUCACAAUGGGC